AGUGACUUAGGAUAAAUUUUAAACCAAAGGCCUUCAAAGCCUUAAACAAGAGUGAAAAUCUCUUAGUCUCUG
rnacentral:tRNA from 1 species